AGCAGCCGCAGUAAUUCCAGCUCCAAUAGCGUAUAUUAAAGUUGUUGCAGUUAAAAAGCUCGUAGUUGAAUUUCGGAAUCAGUACGCCAGUCAUGCUUCGGUAUGUACUAGUGUCACUGAUUCCUUCCUUCUGACGAACCGUCAUGCCAUUAAUUUAGUGUGAUGUGGAAUCAGGACUGUUACUUUAGAAAAAUUAGAGUGUUUAAAGAAGGCUCGCGCUUGAAUACAUUAGCAUGGAAUAAUGAAAUAGGACGUUUGAUCUUAUUUUGUUGGUUUCUAGGAUCGAUGUAAUGAUUAAUAGGGAUAGUUGGGGGCAUUAGUCUUCAAUUGUUCAGAAGUGAAAUUCUU
rnacentral:rRNA from 1 species